rnacentral:lncRNA from 1 species
AUUUGUCUGGCACAUGGGGAGUUCUGACUUCGGUUCCUAGCAUUCACAUGGACAAAAUACCAACAGCAUAACAAAACAUGGAAGACAAGAAGAGGCAGAGACAUCGAGCCAGGUGUACCCUUGCCAGAGGGAGGGAGCAUCCAAGUAGCCACUAAGAGGGGAGCAGAGACCCUGCCAGAGGAUUCAGGCUGUCCACAGGGGUGCAAGAACUGGGUCUCUGUAUAUAGGGGAGCUGAGGCCAGGCAGGAGAAGAGCAACAGGAACCUGGGAGCUUCUUGUCACCCUUAGAAGGGGCAGAAUCUUGGGGGAGGGGAAGAGAGGAGAAGUCAUUUUUUGUUGUUGUUGUUUCGUUUUGUAUUUACUGACUUCUCCUAAUUACUUUCAAAGAGUUCAAAUAUUAGUGGAAGAGACUUUGCCAGAUGAGGAUCUGAAAACCAUACAGAAGCAAGAUUUGGCACCCGCAUCCAAGAGCUGCUUCAGGUUAAGUGUAUACAUCCAGACCACAGAUUCAACAGUGUGAAGAACUGAAGGGGAUUUCAAGGAAUCAAGAAAGUAGACUUGAAAGAGAGGCGUCACACACAGAAGCUUGUCAUGGUAGCACUUUCCAGCUCAAGAGGAAAGCUG